GGAGGUGUGAUCCUUAUUUGCUAAUUAUGUAAAAUGUUGGAGUUCUUAGUUUCAUUAGCUAUCUGGUGCUACUCCUGAGAGGAGUCUGUGCAUCUUGGUGGCCGUGUUUGGGUCCCUGUAAGAAGUCCCAUCUGGUCUCAGGUCCCUCCUGGCCCCCAGAAUUCUCUCCAGUCUCCCCCUUUCCCUUGUCAAUUUGAGGAGAAUGAUUCCAACCUCAUAACUUGUUUUGAGCUCAUUUAAUAUUUAUCAGGCAUUUGAGUAACAUUUAUUAAUCUGAAGGUUGUCAUUGUUAUUUGGUAAAUUUUGUUGUUCGAGGGGAGACAUGAGAAUUUCUCAUUUUAAAAUCACACAGUUUGGAUUCACAGCCUCACGAAAAAUCAGAGAACUUCCCAGGGCUUGAGUGUACUUCAGAACUUCAGUGAUACAUGCAUAUUUUUUUAAUCCAGGAGGAGGCAAAGAUUUAUAUAAUGCAUGCAGUAGACACUCAUUACAUGUUAAUGUCUUCCUUCUUUAAUACUGGCAGAAUGAUAAUUAGAGGAAAUUAAUUGGCCGCACAACUAGAGGAAUGCACACCCUAAUAAUUACUUUCACCAUAGGAAAGAUAUCAACUCUCUGCUGUCCACCUUCUUGCUCUUAGAAUGUCCUGAUUCCUCUCAAGAACUGAGGAGAUGAAUUCUCAGCGAAUGUCCCCUUUGAAGCAAAGCUAUAUCAUGAUGAAAUAUGUCAUGGAUGCAUUUUAUGUGCUCUUCGAUAUGUAUACAUUUCAUGAAGUGAGUGGUGUAUUCUACCAUAAAAAACAAUUUUCAGAAGCACCUCUGCCACGACUUCCUCCCUGGCCGUUCGCCGAAGCCAGCACACUGGGGUGCACGGGGAGCACCCCCCACUCUGCCACGACUGCCUGCUACCCCGCCUUCCCCAGCCUCCCAGCUACAGCCUGUCCUGGUUUUGGUAGCCUGGGGCCACUGCCAGACAGCAACACUGUGGACACCCCUCUGUCUCCUGCACCUGCUACCACAUGGGAAUUAACACAAAAGAAUGUGUUGCACUGAGUCCUGCUUCCCAGACUGGAAUCUACCUCCACUCCAAGACCUAGACCUUCGCUGCUCUUGGACCCCGCCUCCCAAGUCACCCCUCCACCACCUGUCAGCUGCGGCUUCCUCAGCUUGCACUCCCCUGUGUUACCUGCUCAGGGCCCACCCUGGCCUCACCUUUUGCCUGCAUGUUAACUUGGUGGCCUGUCCUUGCCUGUCUGUGGAAUCUUCUCUGCAAGAAGGUCACUGCCAAGCAGCAGUCUUGGUGAAGGCCCAUCAACCUCUGACUUUGCACAGCUGGCCACAGGGCUGGUAUGGGAGCACCUCAUGGCCCUCUGGACUCUGAAGCUGCUACAGAUACUGCUGAGCAGAAGUGUUUUCCCUCUGAAGUGUUUGUCCACCAGGCAGACAUAUUGAACCAAAGCAAACACGUGGGCUGUUGGGAGGAGUGCACGCAGGUAGCUGUUGGUGUGUUGGUUGCAGCAAAUGCUUAUUUGGCAAACAUUCGAGGACUUCCAGCUGGACUAGCUUGCCUGUGUGUCUGCAGAACUGUAACAAGGAUCCCAGCUCAGUGGGCAGGGCUGGUUAUCGGCAUAAACUUGCUGUCCCAGCCCCUCCUCAUCCUUUCCCCUUGCACGCAGCACAGUGUGGGUGCAUAACCCGGGCCUGGAUGCACGUUCUCCUCCUGUGACCGCCCAGGCCUAACCCAAAGUGCUUGGGGCAUGUUGCUUAGCCUGUCUGAGCCUCAGUCUCCUCGAGCAUCUGAUGGGGGUAAUAAUCUAACAGGGGCCUAUAACUGAGGUAACCCAGCGGUAUAGGACAGGACCAGUGAGCAUUUGGUCCCCCUUGCUUUUUGUGGCCACAGAGAUGCUCUGGAGAACAUGGUGCUGUGAUCCCUCCCCAGAUUUCCAUGUGCCCCACAAAAAUACAGCCAUGAGGAUGCAGUAUAGGCCACCCUCCCCACUCUCUGCUUUCUUCUCCUAUCCUGGCAUUCCUGGAGACUCCAACCUGCAGGGCAUUUACUCUGUCUGUUAACAUUUUCAGACUUGCACUGCAGGGGGCACUGAAAGGCACCCCAGCCUGGCAGGUCAGUGACCCCGCUGGUGGCAAGGUGUCUCUCUGGAAGUGAGUGGCUGGCGAUAAAAAGAAACAUAGACACAAAUAAAAACCCAGCCUUCAGUUUCACACUGAUCGUGAUACAGAGCUGAGGACAGAUGACUCUGGUCAGGCCUGAUUGUUGGGACCCACCCAGCCCAGUGAUAGCAGCGUGUGGGAGGAACCCAUGAACCCCAGGGGGAAGGAGGGCCUGACAGAGAGGAGCUGAGGCUCGCAGAGGGUGGGGUGGGUGAGGAGACUUAGCCCAAGUGCAUUCAAGGGAAAAGGUGUGCAUAUGAUCAUGAUUUGGAAGCAGGGAGGGUGGUGUCUUGGGGGACACAAGGGUGGAGAGGGAGGCUGGGAUGAUAUCUGGGAGAAAGCCUUCUACUCACCAGGUCCCAAGUCCUGAAAAGCAGAAACUGGCAGGUCUGUCUGUCCCAUUGGAAAAUUCCUCUGAAGAGGGAGUCUGAUGGCCUUAAAGUCUGUGAUGGUUAAUUUUUUGUCAACUGGACCAGGCCUCAGGGGGCACAAAUGUUUGGUCAACUAUUAUUCUUCAUAGGGUGUUUCUGCAAGGGUGCUUUGGUAUGAUCUUAACAUUUAAAUGGAUAGAUUGAAUAAAACAGAUUGCUCUUCCUAAUGUGGGUGGGUCUCGUCCAAUCAGUUGAAGGCCUGCAUAGACCCAAAAGGCCAACCUCCUCUUCAGCAACAGUGAAAGCCUCCUCUGAAUUGCCUUUGAGCUGGGAUGUUGGUCUGCUCCUGCGUUCAGACUCUGGCUGAAACAUCAGCUCUUCCUGGGUCUUGAGCUUACUGGCUUUCACCUAGAGCUGAGACACCGUCUUUCCUAAUCGCAGGCUCUGAGACUCAAGCUGAAACAACACCUUCAGCUCUCCUGGGUCUCCAGCUUGCCAACUGGAGUUUUGGGGGCUUCUCAGCCUCCAUAAUCAUGUGAGCCAGUUCUUUACAAUAAAUCACGUUUUGUGUGUGUGUGUGUGUGUGUGUGUGUCCUAUUGGUUCUGUUUUUCUGGAGACUCUGACAAAUGCAAGGUCCUAUGGACCCGUGGCUCCCUGCAGCACACCUCUGUGAUCCAGGAGGCAGUUCCCAGACAGAGACAUUGUGAGCUGGGCAGACACCCAGAGAGCUCUACAGGGGCCCUUUCACACCAAGAGCAGCAGCCUUCUCUGUGUUCCUGGAGUAUGCUGCCUAUAUAUACCCAUGCAACAGCAUGUGUGUGUGUGUGUCUGAUCUCUACACUCCACGUGGUCAAUGGUUCAGCCCUUGGAUGGUACUUGAGCCUUUGUAUGUCAAAGCCUGACCCAAAGCUGGAAUGUGGGUGCUGCUCAAGGGUAGCUUUUGAGUUAAUUGGAGGAAGGUGGCAGGUAGCCCAUAGAUCUGGAGGAGCCCAAGCCGGCCUGACUGUGGUGACAGAAGGGCCUGCCCCCCAGAUGGCCCCCCAGCCCACACAGGCUGAAGUAUCUGCUCUUUCUCUCAAUUGGCAUUGCAGUGUCCCCAGCACCUCCUGGCAGCUUCUGCAGGGUGGACAGGGGCUGCCCAAAUGGUCAGUGCAAGACUCCAGGGCCAGCUUCCUGUGAGCCUGGCAUCUGGACAUGCUGGUGCUGUUUUCAAAUGGUUUUGAAACUUGUAGACACCAAGGGGCCACACCAGGCCUCUGAUGUUCUCUCUCAUGCAAGACUGACCUGUGAAUGAGGAACACCAGCCAAGCCCCGGGCAGCACCCAGCAGCUGUGGGCGUGCAUCCCUGCUGCUCCCUUAUUUCAGAGGCCAGAACCAUCCAAACCACACUAGGUGUCAGCAGGAAACAAGUGCAGGACACUCAGGGCUCCUGCCCUGCCUGCCCCUUUAGAGUCAGUGACAGGGGGCCCUGCCCCAGGCCCUGUGUGUCCCUUGCCUGGUGCCCUUCCUGUCUGGGGACUUCCCUCAUUCUGUUUCCCAUAAAUGGAAGUCUGUCUCCUUUGCCCAUGAGUAUGUGUGAUUUAUAGUGAAUUGUGUGAUGACCUCAGCUUAGUGUGGACCCAGCGGGACCAAUGUCAUGUAUCUGCUGUGUCUGAUCGAAUGUUGAGGAUGUCCUCAGACUCCAUCCACUGAAGUCAUGUAGCCAUACUAUUUUAAUCCCAGAAGAUCCUCUGGUGAUGUCUGAGCAUCUCCCUUUAUGAAGGCAGAAAGUUCUAGAGGAAUACACACAGGGCCAGCAGUGAGAUGGCCAGAGGCACUUGAUGCAUCCCUGCACCUCCUUGCCAGGGUGGAGCUGCCCUGCACUACCAGGGACCACCCAUUCUUGUGUCCCUUCCUGACACUAUAGGGUUUUGGCAGAGAUCAUGUAUUAAGAUGAGCUCUCACUGGAGUAAAGUGGAGCCUAAUUCAGUGAUUGGUGGCCUUCUGAGAAGAGAAAACAGAGACCCAGGAGCAAGCGGAAGGCCAUAUGAAGACAGGCAGAGAUGGGGGGUGAUGUAGCCACAAGCCAAGGGCUGCUGGACAAGGCAAAGCAGGGUCCUUCCUCGGGGCCUUCAGAGAAAGCUCAGCCAGCCUGCCACCUUCUUCCAGGAGUCUAGCCUCCAUGAGAGAAUAAUUGUCUAUUGUUAUCAGUCACUCAGUUUUGGGUUAUUUGUGUAUGGUAGCCCUAGGAAACAAAACAUGUCCUCACACACGACUAGCUGACAUUUUAGUGGUGCUUUUCUCCUUUUCAUCUGCCUAUUUCUUCCCCCAGCUGCCCUGGAAGGGUACCACUGGCCAGGGUACUCUCAGAAUCACCUCUAGUGACGAGCCCAAACUCCACACACUCAUCACUGAAGACCAGUGUCAGAACCGCUUGUGUUUACACACAAAAUUCUUCUUUUACUCACAUCGCAACUGUGGUGCUUCUCAAAGCGUGGGGGGUGUGGUGAUUGGUAAGCUGGUGCCAGGUGGUGUGUGCAUGAUUUCAACAGUCAUAGAAAAAUGUUAAUGAGACUAGGGAAAAGUGUAACUUGUACAUCAAACCCAUUUUCAUGGUUAUUAUUGCCUGAGACAAGGCUAAAUAAAAACUGAGUUAAUUUAAAGUUGAUGUAAAGAGAAAUAGUAAAUAGAUGUGGUACAUGGUGGCACAUUAUUCACUGGAAUUUGAGCACUAUUGCAGUGGAAGAAACAGUGUUGUUUUUUUGGGGGGUGGUUGAUGGCUGCAGGUUCAAAUAUGGCUUUUCCUACUGGUGCUGGGACACCAGGCAGUUGUUGAAUCUCUGAACCUCAGAUUUCACUUCUGCACAAUGGGAUCAUGAGGCCCAAAUUAGAGACUUUGUCAGCUGGAUUAAAGCAAAGGGCAGCUGGGAAUGUGCCUGGUGCUUGGCACUUGGCAUAGGCAGAUGGUCAGCAGAUGAGGCUUCGCUGCUGGGCUCUGCACUGAGGCCGGGAGGGCCCUUCUGCAGUGCCCACUGGGGACCCAUGGCCAUGCUCUUCCUGUCCUCUGCCCAGAAGGCUGUCUGGCUCAUGUGAAGCAGCAGGCUUGUCCUGGUGGGAAGGCAGAGGCCCUGCCAGGUUGCCUGGGCCACUUGAGUACCUUGUGAUGAGGGACAGCUCUCCUUAGCUCCUAAGUCUUGGGUCACCUCAGACCUACAGGCAUCAUGCUAAAACUAUCCUUUCACUCUUGGAGCUUUCUGAUAAACACACCUUGAGUCACCCUGGCAGUGACUGGUGAGCUCAGCACAAGAGUGCCUGUUGCAUUAUAAGAUUGUACCAGACCAUGCUUUCUGGAAAGUUCUGGCAAGAAGGCAGGUGGGCCCCUUGCUUACACAAUGAUGAGAAUAUCCUCCUCUAGACAGCUGCCCAAGCGGAAGAUCUUGUCCAGAGGCCCAAGUGCAGUACUCUCAGGGUCACAGCUUGCCUUUGGUACACUACACAUAGUUGCUCCAUCCCAUCACCACAGGGACACUGGCACUAUUGCAUCUUGUCCAGACAUUUCCCAGAUUCCCAGGCCACCAUGAUCCCACUUCCAAGGUUUCUCCCAAAUGUAGAUGCCAGACUCAAGACUCAUGGUUGUGAGGGCCUCUGCAAAGUUCCACCAGCCCAUAUUCUGGCACCUCCUGCAUGAUCAACUACUCAAGAAAUUUUUUAAAACUGACUUUAACUCACUUUUUAUCCCAUAAAUUUACCUCAUGCAAGUAAUGCCACCAUUAGAAGUAUGGGCUUUGUUUGCUGUAUUUAUGAUACUUGGUAUAUUAUAAGUAUACAACACACCUAAAUAAAUACCUAAUAUUAAUUUAUGUGGUAGAUAUAUUUUUGUGGUAAAAUAUAUAUAACAUAAAUUUUACCAUUUUAAUUAUUUUUAAGUGCACAGGUUAAGGCCCACAAUUUCUAAUUGAUUUGAAAAUACUGAUUUGAGUAAGGCUUGGAUAGGUUGGGGAAAUUCACCUCUGCUCAGGGGAUCUCAAGGGGCUAGAUAGAGACUUUUAAGCCCAGGCUGCCUGAUUCCAAACCCCUAUUUGUCAUAAUAACAAUAAUAACAAAAACAACAAUGACUAAUGUUUAUGGGGUCUUUACCGUGUGCCAGGCAUUGUUCCAAGUACUUAAACAUUGUAUGUUUUUAUAAUAUCAUAUGAACUUAUAUCUAAAAUCUCACUUGUAUUUGUAUACCUAUAUAUUCAUAUAUAUUAUAUAUAUAUAACAAAUUAGAGUAUUUGCACAUCACUUUUGACUUCCCCAAAGCUUAAACUACUAAUAGCCUACCAACUGGUGCCUUACUGAUAAC